CUUCAACGAGCCCAGCCACAGCGGGCGUUCUCCGCUCCGCUCCUGGCCGUACGUCGCGAUGAGCGCCUGGGCCUC
rnacentral:antisense_RNA from 1 species